UCUUAUUCCGAGCAUUCCAGUAACUUUUUUGUGUAUGUACUUAGCUGUACUGUAAGUAGUUGGUUUGUAUGAGAUGGUUAAAAA
rfam:Equus caballus chromosome 31, whole genome shotgun sequence.